rnacentral:rRNA from 1 species
GAAUUACUGGGCGUAAAGCGCACGCAGGCGGUCUGUCAAGUCGGAUGUGAAAUCCCCGGGCUCAACCUGGGAACUGCAUUCGAAACUGGCAGGCUAGAGUCUUGUAGAGGGGGGUAGAAUUCCAGGUGUAGCGGUGAAAUGCGUAGAGAUCUGGAGGAAUACCGGUGGCGAAGGCGGCCCCCUGGACAAAGACUGACGCUCAGGUGCGAAAGCGUGGGGAGCAAACAGGAUUAGAUACCCUGGUAGUCCACGCCGUAAACGAUGUCGAUUUGGAGGUUGUGCCCUUGAGGCGUGGCUUCCGGAGCUAACGCGUUAAAUCGACCGCCUGGGGAGUACGGCCGCAAGGUUAAAACUCAAAUGAAUUGACGGGGGCCCGCACAAGCGGUGGAGCAUGUGGUUUAAUUCGAUGCAACGCGAAGAACCUUACCUGGUCUUGACAUCCACAGAACUUUCCAGAGAUGGAUUGGUGCCUUCGGGAACUGUGAGACAGGUGCUGCAUGGCUGUCGUCAGCUCGUGUUGUGAAAUGUUGGGUUAAGUCCCGCAACGAGCGCAACCCUUAUCCUUUGUUGCCAGCGGUCCGGCCGGGAACUCAAAGGAGACUGCCAGUGAUAAACUGGAGGAAGGUGGGGAUGACGUCAAGUCAUCAUGGCCCUUACGACCAGGGCUACACACGUGCUACAAUGGCAUAUACAAAGAGAAGCGACCUCGCGAGAGCAAGCGGACCUCAUAAAGUAUGUCGUAGUCCGGAUUGGAGUCUGCAACUCGACUCCAUGAAGUCGGAAUCGCUAGUAAUCGUAGAUCAGAAUGCUACGGUGAAUACGUUCCCGGGCCUUGUACACACCGCCCGUCACGACCAUGGGAGUGGGUUGCAAAAGAAGUAGGUAGCUUAAC